AGUCGCGUUUGUUAUAGAUCAUGCAGUUGGCUUUGCUGUUAAUUAGCACAUUGGUCGAAGGUUCGAAUCCUUCACGACCCACCA
rnacentral:tRNA from 1 species